AUUAUUUUAUAUUUGGUAUGCAGCUUGAUUUUCAUGAGUUGUAACAUAUAAGCAAUUUUAAUUUCUGUCAAGCAGACACUUCUGAUUUGCCUAGAGUUUGAAAUUUUACAGCACCUAUCAAAAAGUUUUCUUGCCUUCAAUGAAAGGGAUUCAUCAGUUAUGCUUCAGUAUACUUGCAACCUCAAUCAAUAACAUGAAGCGAGGCAGGUCCAUCUGGGUAUUGGUCUGAUUUCACACAGUAUUGUGGCAUCUUGAAUUUGUAUAAUAUAUCAAUAGAAUAACUUCUCCGCUGUAAUAAAAGGACCAUCAAAGGCAUGAUGUUUUGGAAUACCUGUGCAAGGUGGUCCUUACUCGAAUCAUCUUUAAAAGUCUGAAACAGUUGUGCAUUUUUGGAACAAACAACAAAGGCCAAAAAAAAAAAGAUAAACUCCCUAAAGAAGACCAGUUGGUACCAAGCCUUUGGCAAAGUUGUACAUGAUCCCUCUCAAGAUAAUGGUUGAAAACCACAAUGGUUAUCAAACCAACAUUUAAAAAAACCCAAACCAACUGACAAUUUGGCCUAAAAUUUAAAAAAAAAAAGUGCAAUGUGUGUCCUGCCAACUUCAAAGCUAAGGUAGCAAUACACAGUUAGGAGUUUAGUUUCGCAUUUUGGCCCCUGUGGAUUUUUCAAAUAGGAAAGUUAUCGAAUAUUGUGUAAUAAAAUUCUUUUUUAGACAGCUGAGUGCUAAUUUAGCCUAUAAAGAUGGUUUAUAAGAGCAUCAAGAUUAUUUUUUACAUGUUUUAUGGGCUGUUUUCUGUUUGACAAUCCGUAUUUUCAUAGCUAGACCGGCCAUUGGUCCAGAAAUUAAUGUAAUGUUUACAAACACUUUUUUUCUACACGAAGCUUUUGACGCAAUUUUACAAAAAAAUAAGAUGAAAGACAUGAUUUUCAUUGGAUUUUCUGAAUGAUAUAUGUACACAGUUUCAGAAAAGGUAUUACUUCAAGCGAUUGAAAUUCUACUUUUAGCCAAGUUUUGGGGAAAUAUGUGACAUCUUUUCUCCCCUUUUUGCAAUAUUUUAUAACAAAUAAAUGCAGAUUGUUGCCAUGGAUACACUCAAAAGAAAUUAUAUUUUACCAUUUUAUAUACUGGAUAUAAAAUCUAUGGAAGAUUCUGAUUACAUACAUAUGCCCAUAUAUGACACAAACAGUAAGCUUGAUAUUGAAAGAAAGCAAUGAAAAGGAGAUGGUAAAAUUUAUAAGGGCAAAUUUAAAAAAAAAUUCCUAACUGUUUAUUGCUACCCAAGGGUUCCAAUCCUGUUCUCUCAUGGAGAGCAGAGGUCUGAGGUUCUCGUGAAGAAAAAUCGAA
rnacentral:lncRNA from 1 species